rnacentral:lncRNA from 1 species
CUAACAUGGCGGCAUCAAGAGAAGAAUGCAUGAUGUAUAAUCUGCCAGCUUUUAGGCACAAGCGGGAACAGAACGAGAUUGUUAACAUCACACACCUUUAAUUUCAUGUUGGAUCUUGCUUAAUAUGUUUAGAUGGAAAAAACGACGUCCCAGUGGUAUAAAAGUUCUGAGAUGGAGACCUCGAGCUCGUACAACCUUCAGAUCAACGUACUGCCAGAGAGACACUGCAAGGGUAAGAAAGGUUCAACAGUCAUCACGGGACCUUUUCUUCAUGUAGGGACAGAUUUCAAUGGAGACUGGAUGGAUUGUCCUUAGCCCCUCGCAGUCGGUGUGCAUCGGUCAAAUAGAGGACAAGUUGACCGAAGUCAAUAAAAUGUUGUGCGCGGUCGUCGGGGCGAUACAUCCAUGUAGCUGGUCCGAGUUUACUCACAACAAUAGAAAAUGAUCGACGAAGUAUAUAUAUUCUCUUCCACAUGAUGUAAAUUAAACUGAUAUUGAUCGAUAUUGAUCGUUAUACUAGAGAUGGACCAAAAAAACUGGAACAUUUUCAAGGACUUUCUACCGCGAACUAUGGUAUGGUAUGCUAUCUUAUCACUGUGCAAUAUUUUGUAGUCUCAUUUGUACAAGUGUGCAAUCAGAGCUCGCCUUCUAUUAUAACAAAUUAUAUGAUUUGACAAGUCCAACCCUUAUGGCCUGUAGUUCUUUCUCACCGACAGUUUCCAGUAUCGUUCAUUUGACUUGAAUGCGGAUGUGAUCUGAGUUCGGGUGCCUCUGGGGUGGGGAGGGUGGGGGGUUACCUAACUGUAGUCUCGUAACGGUUCAAAUUUUCACGUCAAUAAUCCAGCUUAUCUCCAAUCCUAGAAUUUUCUUAAAUUUUGUUAACUGAUCUCUUCUGUUAUCAUAAUUGUCAUCCUAAGUAGAUACAUUUCCUCAUUUCAAAAUAUACGAGCCUUUAUCUGAUAGUAAGUUGCAAAAAUGCAGCUCGGUCUUUCUUUUGCUGCAACGUAUUUCAUCAACAUGGUGGUAGAUUGAUGUAUUGUUGAUGUUACUGCUAAUUUGACAUGCCGCGGGAAAAGAAAAACAUCAACUUUACGGGCAGCUCAAGUCAGCUGUUGGUAAAUGAUUGAAAACUGUUCUUCAAGGAAAUCUUUCUUAUAAGUUCAAAUUCAUCUGAUUUAGAGGUAGUAUUUUUUCAAUUAAAACGACGACUGCCCCUCUCUAUUUAACUUUACAGAUAUUAGGAUCAGCCGGCUACAGCUAGUCACCUUGCAUCGUUUUUAAAUUUAACGAAGGUGACCGAAGAGCUCACCGAUGCGUGGUCUUCGGUCGGGGAACUGAUUUGAAUUAAAUCAUUUUGAAACAUUGAUAUUCAUAAUUUAGAUUGGUCUUGCACGUGGAAAGAUCUUACGAGCUACGAGAAAUGUCAGCGUCUUUUUUUAGCUUCUCUGGGGCCAGGAAACGUAUCAUUUCAACCCAGUUACCUUGUAUAUCGUACAUUCUGUCAAGGCGGGAGAAUAUUUGUGAGUGGUUACUGAAGCGAGGGGUUUGAACUCGACAACGAAGAGUGGAUGGAUGUCAUUAUGUUACGACUUUUUCAAGCGUCAGGCAUAGGACAAGGUUAUCACUAAAUCAAGGAAUUCAAGCAAGGAAAGGAAAACAAGACAACUUCCAGAAACGUUGACUGAUGCACGAAUCAAACAAGAAAAGCUGUGAUCAAAGUGAAAGAUGAGAUUUAUCCGGAGGUAUAAAUCAGAUUUAGCGCAUUUCACUCAAAACCACGACACGGCAAAUCAGAGCCAAAUGACAUUCCAAAAAAAAAUCGACGACUUAAAACUGUUGGUUGGCCUAAUAUUACUGACAUGGGCUGUUCAAAAUUUUCAAUUUUUCCCGCCAAAAAACUUAGAAAAAUACAGGCGCUUAUACUGCGCAUGCGCAAACUUUUAUUUAAUCUUUAAGUAACCUUUGUUGAAAUGUGGCAAAUACGGCGCCCAAAAUAUGCAUGCGCCAUUUUUUUUUUUUUUUACAUCGAAGUUGUAUUUUUCAAGGCAAUAAACUUUAUCUUUAUUUCCA